GGGUGUAUAGCUCAAUUGGUAGAGCAUUGGGCUUUGAACCUAGUGGUCGUAGGCUCAAGUCCUGUUAUACCCA